rnacentral:ncRNA from 1 species
CUUAUCCAGAACGGCAGAGGGGACGGCCCUGCGAAGCCUAGCAACCGGUCGCAGUCCGCCAAGGCGGGCCCAUGAUACGGUGCUAAUUCCGGCGUCUGGCAUAUUCAGGCGAAAGAUGAGG